AUGCAAAAGGAGAGCCCAGAAGAGUGUGAAGAACAGGCCUGGAAGAGAGGGAAAGCCAAACUGAGCUCACCAGGGUCUCGUCAGUGUGAUUACAGUGAUCAGCAAGGGCAGGACAGGCCAGAGCUGCCCAUGCCGAGUACCUCCACAACAACAGCCCCAUCUGUCUAUCCACUGGCUCCUGGACUAGGAAGCACAACUGCCCCCAGGGUGGCCCUGGGAUGCCUGGUCAAGGGCUAUUUCCCUGAGCCGGUGACCGUAAGCUGGAACUCUGGAGCCCUGACCAGCGGCGUGCACACCUUCCCAUCUGUCCUGCAUUCUGGGCUCUACUCCCUCAGCAGCUCAGUGACUGUACCUUCCAGCACCUGGCCCAGCCAGACCGUCACCUGCAACGUAGCCCACCCGGCCAGCAGCACCAAGGUGGACAAGAAAAUUGAGCCUGUCUUGCCUGGAGUUGGAAGCCCUUGCAAGCCCUGCACAUGUCCAGGCCCAGAAGUAUCUUCGGUCUUCAUCUUCCCACCAAAGCCCAAGGAUGUGCUCACAAUCUCUCUGAGUCCCAAGAUCACGUGUGUCGUGGUGGACAUUAGCCAGGAUGAUCCCGAGGUCCAGUUCAGCUGGUUUGUAGAUGGCACGGAAGUGCACACGGCUGAGACCCAAUCCCGGGAGGAGCAGUUCAACAGCACCUACCGCGUGGUCAGUGUCCUGCCCAUCCUACAUCAAGACUGGCUGAAUGGCAAGGAGUACAAAUGCAAGGUCAACAGCCCAGCCUUCCCUGUCCCCAUCGAGAAAACCAUCUCCAAACGGAGAGGGAAACUUCAGGUUCCACAGGUGUACGUCAUGCCCCCACCCAAGGAGCAGAUGACCCAGAAUAAGGUCAGCCUCACCUGCAUGAUAGUAGGCUUUUACCCUGAGGAUAUCGAUGUGGCCUGGCAGAAGAACGGACAGCCAGAACAGAGCUUCAAAAACACUCCCCCCGUCUUGGACGCAGAUGAGACUUACUUCCUCUACAGCAAACUCGAUGUGAAGAAGAGCGACUGGGAGAGAGAAACUUUCACCUGCUCUGUGGUACACGAGGCCCUGCACAAUCACCACACAGAGAAGACUCUGUCCCACAGGCCUGAGUUCGAACUGGACAACUGUGCUGAGGCCCAGGACGGGGAGCUGGACGGGCUCUGGACAACCAUCACCAUCUUCAUCACCCUCUUCCUGCUCAGCGUGUGCUAUAGCGCCACCGUCACACUCUUCAAGGUAAAGUGGAUCUUCUCCUCGGUGGUGGAGCUGAAGCAGACGCUGGCUCCUGACUAUAAGAACAUGAUUGGACAAGGGCCUUAG